CCCUUAGAUGUUCGGGGCCGCACGCGCGCUACACUGAAGGAAUCAGCACGUCUUUCUCCUUGUCCGAAAGGACUGGGUAACCCGCUGAACCUCCUUCGUGCUAGGGAUUGGGGCUUGCAAUUCUUCCCCAUGAACGAGGAAUUCCCAGUAAGCGCGAGUCAUAAGCUCGCGUUGAUUACGUCCCUGCCCUUUGUACACACCGCCCGUCGCUACUACCGAUUGGAUGGUUUAGUGAGAUCCUCGGAUUGGUCCCGGAGCGGCCUCUGGUCGUGCCGGAGUGCCGAAAAGAAUGUCGAACUUGAUCAUCUAGAGGAAGUAAAAGUCGUAACA
rnacentral:rRNA from 1 species